GGGCCUUUGGUGAAAUUCGGCAUCACACCUGCCUUGCAAGCAGGAGUUCCGGGUUCGAGCCCCGGCUGGUCCACC
rnacentral:tRNA from 1 species